rnacentral:rRNA from 1 species
UACGUAGGGUCCGAGCGUUGUCCGGAAUUACUGGGCGUAAAGCGUGCGCAGGCGGCUUUGUAAGUUAGAGGUGAAAGCCCGGGGCUCAACCCCGGAAUUGCCUUUAAGACUGCAUCGCUUGAAUCCGGGAGAGGUGAGUGGAAUUCCGAGUGUAGAGGUGAAAUUCGUAGAUAUUCGGAAGAACACCAGUGGCGAAGGCGGCUCACUGGACCGGCAUUGACGCUGAGGUGCGAAAGCGUGGGGAGCAAACAGG